rnacentral:rRNA from 1 species
UACAGAGGGUGCAAGCGUUAAUCGGAAUUACUGGGCGUAAAGCGCACGCAGGCGGUUGGUUAAGUCAGAUGUGAAAGCCCCGGGCUCAACCUGGGAAUUGCAUUUGAAACUGGGAAACUAGAGUGUGUGAGAGGGGGGUAGAAUUCCAAGUGUAGCGGUGAAAUGCGUAGAGAUUUGGAGGAAUACCAGUGGCGAAGGCGGCCCCCUGGCACAACACUGACGCUCAGGUGCGAAAGCGUGGGGAGCAACCAGG